rnacentral:snRNA from 1 species
GUGAGCUUCGGCAGCAUGUAUACUAAAAUUGAAAUGAUACAGAGAAGAUUAGCAUGGACCCUGUGCAAGGAUGACAAAUUCAUGAAGCGUUCCAUAUUUCC